UUGUCCAUACCAGCUAUUAACCAUGUUUAUUACAGUGGGCAUCACCACCCUCUGGGAGCAACACCUUGGAAACUCAAGCAGGAGCCACUGAAGGUCACACGACCUCAUCUGUCACUGGAAUUGGGUUAACCUGGGGUCCUCCUGCCGAGGCUGCCUCCUCUUCGGCCUCACUUGGCUUCUUGCGGACCUCCGCUGGUGGCCGGGGUGGGGGGUUGGUAGGUGGCUGCUUGAUGGUGCCUCCAACCUGCGGCCGCUCCUUGGGUUUAGGCUCAAUGGGAGUCCACUGCUCACCCCGGAUGGCUGCCUGGGUCAGAGAAGGACUAUGUGGGGAUGCCAAGUGUACCUGGGUCUUAGUCCCAUGAUGGGUGUGGCUUCUAUUAACUGACUGGCCCAAGGCCACAUAAUCAGGAUCUGAGGCUACCUGACACCAAACCCAUGCCAGGAGGGCCCUGCAGUUGAGGAAGCAGAGAGGCCCUGGGCUUUGUAACAUUUCCAGAAGCACUUCCAGGCACGGAUUCCAUGACCCACAGAGCUUCUGCAUUCCCUCUAAAGGCUACCCACCUACGUUACAGCCUCGGUAAGGAGGCUGUCAAGGGCAAGCAUCCAGGGCAAGCAAAGAACUUUCUGGAAAUAGUGCUGUUAUCCCUCCUACCCCCCACAUUCCAUGGUGACCGGUUCUCUGAAUCUGGGGGUGUCCGUUUAAAUUUAGUAUCUCACCCAGCA
rnacentral:lncRNA from 1 species